CUUGAUUUUUCCCUUGGCCGCGUUGGUUUCCUGGGCGUGUCUUUCUUCUCUGCAGGCAGCCACGCUCAUCUUCCUGGCCGCGCUCAUCUUCCUGCUGCUCCAGCGCGCCCAGCUCCCAGCUCGGAUCCCUGCCUCAACUCGCCUCCCUCACGGCGCCCUCCCUCCGUUCCUUCUCCUCCAUGGCCGUCGGUCCUCCCCGCGCUGCUCUCUGUCUCUCUCCUAGCCGCGGUCGGCUCUGGCCCAGGUCCGAUCGGUGCUCCUCCCUGCUGUAGCGCCGGUCCCAGCUCGGAUCCCUCCCAGCCGCGGCUCUCCGGUGUUUGGCCCUGGUCCAAGCUCCUGCUCGUCCAGCCCCCUUCCCAGGCGCCCCUGGCUGAGCUCCCCCAUGGCGUCUCCCCCAUCCAUGGCUGUGUCGUUCCCCUGCUCUGGUGGCUGAGCUAUCUCUCUUGUGCUCGACGAAACGACCAUGAGGAGUUUUGUGUUGUGUGCAGCCCCAUAUGCGACACCGUCGAACCCCGGAUGUGAGCAGAGAAAUCUUUGGAGGUUUGGUUGAAUGAAAGCGAAAUCCCGAGGUGUCGUUCAUUAGGUGCUCGACGUAUGGGCUAAAGUGUAGCUUGACGUUGUGCUUAUACUUUCCGAGUUGAAUUUAAUUUUGGGUGAAUUCCUUCGCUAUCUAUAAUUGUCAGCUUGAAUGAUGGGUUAAAUAGUUAGGUGGUCGAUCACUCUUUUGUGAUUAGCAUAGGUACUUGUGGUUAGCAGGUGUGGUGUGAUCUCCGAUUCCCUGUUGUUGGUGUCUUGCUUCAUCGUAACCAUAGGGAAUGAUGUCUUUCCUCUAAUUACUUGUAAUAAUUGUGUUUGAUUUAUAUGUUGUCUUAGCUAAUUAAUGAAAGGCCUUUGUUUGGUG
rnacentral:lncRNA from 1 species